CAAAGUGUGGCUAAACUAGUAAAGCAUCUCCCUUACACCGAGAAGAUAUCUGUACAAUUCGGAUCACUUUGA
rnacentral:tRNA from 1 species